AUUGACCUCGGAUCAGGUAGGGAUACCCGCUGAACUUAAGCAUAUCAAUAAGCGGAGGAAAAGAAACCAACAGGGAUUGCCUCAGUAACGGCGAGUGAAGCGGCAACAGCUCAAAUUUGAAAUCUGGCCCCGUCGGGGUCCGAGUUGUAAUUUGUAGAGAGUGUUUCGGGUGAGACCACGGUCUAAGUCUAUUGGAACAUGGCGUCAUAGAGGGUGAGAAUCCCGUAUGUGACCGUGGCUCGAGCCCAUGUGAAGCCUCUUCGACGAGUCGAGUUGUUUGGGAAUGCAGCUCAAAAUGGGUGGUAAAUUUCAUCUAAAGCUAAAUACUGGCUGGAGACCGAUAGCGCACAAGUAGAGUGAUCGAAAGAUGAAAAGCACUUUGGAAAGAGAGUCAAAAAGUACGUGAAAUUGUUGAAAGGGAAGCGCUUGCAACCAGACCUGUCCGUAGGUGAUCAGCCGCUGUUCUCAGUGGUGCACUCGCUCUGCGAUCAGGCCAGCAUCGGUUCCGGCGGUCGGAUAAAGGCCUUGGGAAUGUAGCUCCCUUCGGGGAGUCUUAUAGCCCUCGGUGCAAUGCGGCCAGCCGGGACCGAGGACCGCGCUUCGGCUAGGAUGCUGGCGUAAUGGUUGUAAGCGACCCGUCUUGAAACACGGACCAAGGAGUCUAACAUCUAUGCGAGUGUUUGGGUGUUAAACCCAUGCGCGGAAUGAAAGUGAACGGAGGUGAGAACCCUUUAGGGCGCAUCAUCGACCGAUCCAGAUGUCUUCGGAUGGAUUUGAGUAUGAGCAUAGCUGUUGGGACCCGAAAGAUGGUGAACUAUGCCUGAAUAGGGUGAAGCCAGAGGAAACUCUGGUGGAGGCUCGCAGCGGUUCUGACGUGCAAAUCGAUCGUCAAAUUUGGGUAUAGG
rnacentral:rRNA from 1 species